GCCAGUUUGGAAUAGUGGUUUGAGCAUCGGACUAUGACUUUGGAGACCAGGGUUCAAUUCCUGGCUUGGCC